AGGACGAACGCUGGCGGCGUGCUUAACACAUGCAAGUCACGGGGGCCCGCAAGGGUAACCGGCGAACGGGUGCGUAACACGUGAACAACCUGCCCUCGUGUGGGGGAUAGCCGGGCUAACGCCCGGGUAAUACCGCAUACGGUCCCUUGGGGGAGUCCCUGGGGGAAGAAAGCUCCGGCGCACGGGGAGGGGUUCGCGGCCUAUCAGCUAGUUGGUGAGGUAAUGGCUCACCAAGGCGUCGACGGGUAGCU
rnacentral:rRNA from 1 species